UACGUAGGGUGCGAGCGUUAAUCGGAAUUACUGGGCGUAAAGGGUGCGCAGGCGGUUCUGCAAGUCAGGCGUGAAAUCCCCGGGCUUAACCUGGGAAUGGCGCUUGAAACUACGGGACUGGAGUAUGGCAGAGGGAGGUGGAAUUCCACGUGUAGCGGUGAAAUGCGUAGAGAUGUGGAGGAACACCGCUGGCGAAGGCAGCCUCCUGGGCCAAUACUGACGCUCAUGCACGAAAGCGUGGGGAGCAAACAGG
rnacentral:rRNA from 1 species